rnacentral:rRNA from 1 species
AUGGCUGUUACAGCCAAUAAAGUUGUAACACCCUGCUACUUUAAUCAUGGAUAUAAUGAUCAUUUUGUUGAACCAUUAUUACUGUCUUCUAUAUGUAAAUUCAUAUAUGUGUUGCAACUUUUGCCUUUGGAUCUGCUCUUGCUUUGGCAUGCUAAUGAAUGUCUAAAUUCCAAUUUAAGAAUAUGGCCUCGAAGCUUCUGUUUAUCUCCAGUCAACAAUGAAAUGAUCACGUGUAGAGUAUUUCUUUUGGAAUUAGAUAAUGUCGCCCAGGAUGUAAAUCUUUCGAAGGUUGAACUGGAUUUAUAUAAUUUCUUUUAG